AAAAGCUCAAAUUUGAAAUCUGCCACCAGGCCGAGUUGUAAUUUGUAGAUGGCUACACUGCAUAAUAGCAGAUGCUCAAGUUCUUUGGAAAAAGACAUCAUGGAGGGUGACAAUCCCGUGAGGCAUCGUGCUAGGAGCAUAUAGUGGGCUUUCUAAGAGUCGAGUUGUUUGGGAAUGCAGCUCAAAGUGCGUGGUGAAUACCAUGUAAAGCUAAAUAUGGACGAGAGACCGAUAGCGAACAAGUACUGUGAAGGAAAGAUGAAAAGCACUCCGAAAGGAGAGUGAAAUAGUACGUGAAAUUGUUAAAGUGGAAGGGCUUGAGAUCAGAAUUGGAGUCUUGGGUUCCACGUCCUCUUGGGGGCGUGUACUCCCUUUUCUCUGGGCCAGCGGGAGUUUUGUCUCUUGGGUAAAAGCAGUGGAAUGUAGCAGCUUGUCUGUAUUAUAGCCUCUGUUCAUACAAGACGUCGAGACUCGAUUUGUUGGCGUAAUGAUCUCUAGCCACCCGUCUUGAAACACGGACCAAGGAGUCUAUUGCCUAUGCGAGUGUUUGGGUGGAAAACCCUUGCGCGUAAUGAAAGUGAAAAGAUCAGGGCUCUUUUUUUGGAGUGCACGAUCGACCGAUCUUGACGAUUUUCAGAUGGAUUUGAGUAAGAGCAUAGUUGAUGGGACCCGAAAGAUGGUGAACUAUACUUGGCGAGGGCGAAGCCAGAGGAAACUCUGGUGGAGGUCCGUAGGGGUUCUGACGUGCAAAUCGAUCCUCUCAGCUGAGUAUGGGGGCGAAAGACUAAUCGAACCAUCUAGUAGCUGGUUCCCUCCGAAGUUUCCCUCAGGAUAGCAGGAGCUCGUAUCAGUUUUAUGAGGUAAAGAAAUGAUUAGAGGUAUUGGGGUUGAAACGACCUUGACCUAUUCUCAAACUUUGAAUGUGUAAGAAGUCCUUGUUACUUAAUUGAACGUGGACACUUGAAUGAAGAGCUCUUAGUGGGCCAUUUUUGGUAAGCAGAACUGGCGAUGCG
rnacentral:rRNA from 1 species